rnacentral:rRNA from 1 species
GACGAACGCUGGCGGCGUGCUUAACACAUGCAAGUCGAACGGAAAGGCCCUGCUUUUGUGGGGUGCUCGAGUGGCGAACGGGUGAGUAACACGUGAGUAACCUGCCCUUGACUUUGGGAUAACUUCAGGAAACUGGGGCUAAUACCGGAUAGGAGCUCCUGCUGCAUGGGGGGGGUUGGAAAGUUUCGGCGGUUGGGGGUGGACUCGCGGCUUAUCAGCUGGUUGGUGGGGUAGUGGCUUACCAAGGCUUUGACGGGUAGCCGGCCUGGGAGGGUGACCGGCCACAUUGGGACUGAGAUACGGCCCAGACUCCUACGGGAGGCAGCAGUGGGGAAUAUUGCACAAUGGGCGGAAGCCUGAUGCAGCAACGCCGCGUGCGGGAUGACGGCCUUCGGGUUGUAAACCGCUUUCGCCUGUGACGAAGCGUGAGUGACGGUAAUGGGUAAAGAAGCACCGGCUAACUACGUG